rnacentral:rRNA from 1 species
UACGUGGGGUGCGAGCGUUGUCCGGAAUUAUUGGGCGUAAAGAGCUCGUAGGCGGUCUGUCACGUCGGCUGUGAAAACCCGAGGCUCAACCUCGGGCCUGCAGUCGAUACGGGCAAACUAGAGUACUGCAGGGGAGACUGGAAUUCCUGGUGUAGCGGUGAAAUGCGCAGAUAUCAGGAGGAACACCGGUGGCGAAGGCGGGUCUCUGGGCAGUAACUGACGCUGAGGAGCGAAAGCGUGGGGAGCGAACAGG